rnacentral:rRNA from 1 species
AGGACGAACGCUGGCGGCGUGCUUAACACAUGCAAGUCGAGCGGAAAGGCCCUUCGGGGUACUCGAGCGGCGAACGGGUGAGUAACACGUGAGCAACCUGCCCUUAGCUUCGGGAUAGCUCCGGGAAACCGGAAUUAAUACCGAAUAUGACUUUGGCUGACAUCAGCAGAAGUGGAAAGUUUUUCGGCCAGGGAGGGGCUCGCGGCCUAUCAGCUUGUUGGGGGGGUAACGCCACCAAGGCGACGACGGGUA